CACCGUGAGCCAUAGGAAGACUAGGAGUUACUUUUCUGUAGCUUGCUUUUUCUUAUUGAGUGGGACGAAUUGAAUUUUCCCAAUUCCUGGAGAUGAUGGCCGCAAUUGUUGCUGUAACUUUGUGUGGGUCUUUCUUAUCCGGAAUGAACUAAUUUCACCACUCUAAUCAAGGGAUAACAGAGGCUCUGGUUUGCCUGUAAAUUGUGAGAUCGAUUUAAGUUUAUCAUUUUUUUUAUUUAUUGAUAUUCGCAUAUU
rnacentral:lncRNA from 1 species